AAGUCGUAACAAGGUUUCCGUAGGUGAACCUGCGGAAGGAUCAUUACUGAGUUAGGGUCUUUGGCCCGACCUCCAACCCUUUGUCGAAACACCUUUGUUGCUUUGGCUGGCCAGCUUAGCGGUCGGAGCUAGCUCUGACUAGUGCCUGCCAAUAGCCCAUUUAAAUUCGUUCAAUAUUGAAUGUCUGAUAUACUUGAAAUUAAACAAAACUUUCAACAACGGAUCUCUUGGUUCUG
rnacentral:misc_RNA from 1 species